GACGAACGCUGGCGGCGUGCCUAAUACAUGCAAGUUGAGCGCUGAAGGUUGGUACUUGUACCGACUGGAUGAGCAGCGAACGGGUGAGUAACGCGUGGGGAAUCUGCCUUUGAGCGGGGGACAACAUUUGGAAACGAAUGCUAAUACCGCAUAAAAACUUUAAACACAAGUUUUAAGUUUGAAAGAUGCAAUUGCAUCACUCAAAGAUGAUCCCGCGUUGUAUUAGCUAGUUGGUGAGGUAAAGGCUCACCAAGGCGAUGAUACAUAGCCGACCUGAGAGGGGGGUCGCCCCAAUGGGGCCUGGAAACGGGCCCAAACCCCUGCGGGAGGCAGCAGAGGGGAAUCUUCGGCAAUGGAGGAAAGUCUGACCGAGCAACGCCGCGUGAGUGAAAAAGGUUUUCGGAUCGUAAAACUCGGUUGGGAGAGAAAAACGUUGGUGGGGGGGGAAAGCCCAUCAAGGGCCGGAAACUACCCAGAAGGGGACGGCAAACUCCGG
rnacentral:rRNA from 1 species